UCCCAGGGUGGCCACGUUGAAAUAAAUCUCC
rnacentral:piRNA from 1 species